rnacentral:rRNA from 1 species
UACGAAGGGGGCUAGCGUUGCUCGGAAUCACUGGGCGUAAAGGGUGCGUAGGCGGGUCUUUAAGUCAGGGGUGAAAUCCUGGAGCUCAACUCCAGAACUGCCUUUGAUACUGAGGAUCUUGAGUUCGGGAGAGGUGAGUGGAACUGCGAGUGUAGAGGUGAAAUUCGUAGAUAUUCGCAAGAACACCAGUGGCGAAGGCGGCUCACUGGCCCGAUACCGACGCUGAGGUGCGAAAGCAUGGGGAGCAAACAGG